UACGGAGGGAGCUAGCGUUGUUCGGAAUUAUCUGGGCGUAAAGCGCACGUAGGCGGCUUUGUAAGUUAGAGGUGAAAGCCCGGGGCUACAACCCCGGAAUUGCCUUUAAGACUGCAUCGCUUGAAUCCGGGAGAGGUGAGUGGAAUUCCGAGUGAUGAGAGGUGAAAUUCGUAAGAUAUUCGGAAGAACACCAGUGGCGAAGGCGG
rnacentral:rRNA from 1 species